AGAGUUUGAUCAUGGCUCAGGAUGAACGCUGGCGGCGUGCUUAACACAUGCAAGUCGAACGAUGAAGCCCAGCUUGCUGGGUGGAUUAGUGGCGAACGGGUGAGUAACACGUGAGUAACCUGCCCUUAACUCUGGGAUAAGCCUGGGAAACUGGGUCUAAUACCGGAUAGGAGCGCCUACCGCAUGGUGGGUGUUGGAAAGAUUUAUCGGUUUUGGAUGGACUCGCGGCCUAUCAGCUUGUUGGUGAGGUAAUGGCUCACCAAGGCGACGACGGGUAGCCGGCCUGAGAGGGUGACCGGCCACACUGGGACUGAGACACGGCCCAGACUCCUACGGGAGGCAGCAGUGGGGAAUAUUGCACAAUGGGCGCAAGCCUGAUGCAGCGACGCCGCGUGAGGGAUGACGGCCUUCGGGUUGUAAACCUCUUUCAGUAGGGAAGAAGCGAAAGUGACGGUACCUGCAGAAGAAGCACCGGCUAACUACGUGCCAGCAGCCGCGGUAAUACGUAGGGUGCGAGCGUUAUCCGGAAUUAUUGGGCGUAAAGAGCUCGUAGGCGGUUUGUCGCGUCUGUCGUGAAAGUCCGGGGCUUAACCCCGGAUCUGCGGUGGGUACGGGCAGACUAGAGUGCAGUAGGGGAGACUGGAAUUCCUGGUGUAGCGGUGGAAUGCGCAGAUAUCAGGAGGAACACCGAUGGCGAAGGCAGGUCUCUGGGCUGUAACUGACGCUGAGGAGCGAAAGCAUGGGGAGCGAACAGGAUUAGAUACCCUGGUAGUCCAUGCCGUAAACGUUGGGCACUAGGUGUGGGGACCAUUCCACGGUUUCCGCGCCGCAGCUAACGCAUUAAGUGCCCCGCCUGGGGAGUACGGCCGCAAGGCUAAAACUCAAAGGAAUUGACGGGGGCCCGCACAAGCGGCGGAGCAUGCGGAUUAAUUCGAUGCAACGCGAAGAACCUUACCAAGGCUUGACAUGUUCUCGAUCGCCGUAGAGAUACGGUUUCCCCUUUGGGGCGGGUUCACAGGUGGUGCAUGGUUGUCGUCAGCUCGUGUCGUGAGAUGUUGGGUUAAGUCCCGCAACGAGCGCAACCCU
rnacentral:rRNA from 1 species